rnacentral:rRNA from 1 species
AUACGAAGGUCCCAAGCGUUAUUCGGAAUCACUGGGCGUAAAGAGUACGUAGGCGGUUUGGUAAGUCAGGUGUGAAAUCCCGAAGCUCAACUUCGGAACUGCAUCCGAUACUGCCAGACUUGAGUAAUGGAGAGGCAGGUGGAAUUCUCGGUGUAGCAGUGAAAUGCGUGGAUAUCGAGAGGAAGACCAAUGGCGAAGGCAGCCUGCUGGACAUUUACUGACGCUGAGGUACGAAGGCUAGGGGAGCGAAAGGGAUUAGAAACCCCAGUAGUCC